GAUGAACGCUGGCGGCGUGCUUAACACAUGCAAGUCGAACGGAAAGGCCCUGCUUUUGUGGGGCGCACGAGUGCCGAACGGGGGAGUAACACGCGUGUAACCUGUCCCUGACUUUGGGGUAACUCCAGGAAACUGCGGCUAAUAUCGGAUAGGAUCUCCUGCUGCAUGGUGUGGGUUGGUAAGUGACGGCGUUGGUGGCUGGACUCGCGGCUUAUGAGCUUGUUGGUGGGGUAGUGGCUUACCACGGCUUUGACGGGUAGCCGGCCUGAGAGGGUGACCGGCCACAUUGGGACUGAGAUACGGCCCAGACUCCUACGGGAGGCAGCGGUGGGGAAUAUUGCACAAUGGGCGGAAGCCUGAUGCAGCAACGCCGCGUGCGGGAUGACGGCCUUCGGGUUGUAAACCGCUUUCGCCUGUGACGAAGCGUGAGUGACGGUAAUGGGUAAAGAAGCACCGGCUAACUACGUG
rnacentral:rRNA from 1 species